AUGCUCAAUUUGAUAAGUGUGUCUUCCACGAGUUUUCUGGCAGCUGACGGAGCACAUCUCAAGUUCGUUUCAGUUAGAUUUUAGUUGAUGAGUUUUGGAUGAAACAAUUGCUAAAAAAGGCCUCCUCUUUGUUCAGUUAACUUUAUUUCCUCUGUAAUCUCAGGACUCAUGAAGCUGUUUCAGAGAACACAAGUCUGCUACUCACACAUGAUCCAUUUUAUCAUCUAUUAAUGGUUGUUGGGCUGAUAAUAGUGCAGUUUAAGGAAGGGAAUUUGCGUUUUUCAUCCUGCAGACGGUCAAGAGUUGGAGAUGCUAUUCUUUUGAAGGAGCGGUUACUGAUGCAUAAUUCUCAUGACUGCAUGAUCCAAUUGAGGAAAAGCAUCUCUACAUUCUAAGAUGACUAAAAUGGAAGAUUCAGAAGAAAAUUCCAAGGAUGCUGUGGUGGCAGUAUGAAUGGAUAUUGCAUGGAAUGUCUUGCACAAAGUAAAGAUCUCGUAUAUGCAUUGUCAGAGCAAUAUCCCAACCACAAUCUCUAGCACAAUUGAACUUAAGAUGUUUAAGAUGAGAUGGAGUGGGUAUGCUGGAUUAGUUUCAUCGGUUGUUUCUUUGAGAUUCACAGUGGAGUAUCUUUCUCUGAAUUUGUUGAUAUCGCCUGAACGUUCUUCCCCAGUUUGGAGGUGGUGAAAUCUACCAUUGCUUCCAAUGAUGUUGCACAGAACUUCUCCUCUCCCUGGAUGCCUGGCUCCUCGCACUCUUUUAUUGUAUUUUUCAUAACUUCAGCUUCCUGUGAGUUGGGCUUCACU